rfam:Populus trichocarpa scaffold_19_contig_394, whole genome shotgun sequence.
UCUAUAACUCGAGAUAUGGGCUGAACAUUGAACAAUGUAUGAGCUGGAGGACAGAUUCCGAUUUCUCUUUUCUUGCUAUAAUUUGAACUUGAAAACAGCCAUUUUGAAUCUUGGACUAUAAUGAAAGUUUUAGGCCUAUGUCUUACCUUUCCAUC